UACGAACCGUGCGAACGUUGUUCGGAAUCACUGGGCUUAAAGGGCGCGUAGGCGGCAUUUCAAGUCCGGGGUGAAAUCCCCCAGCUCAACUGGGGAAGUGCCUUGGAAACUGGAGUGCUCGAGGGAGGUAGGGGUCGAGGGAACUUCUGGUGGAGCGGUGAAAUGCGUUGAUAUCAGAAGGAACGCCGGUGGCGAAAGCGCUCGACUGGACCUUUUCUGACGCUGAGGCGCGAAAGCUAGGGGAGCAAACGGG
rnacentral:rRNA from 1 species